CGACGGAGUCUCAAUUGGGCGCGUUGGUGUGGAUAAGAAAUAGCUAGCUGCGCUUGCUCUCCUCUCCACGAGCUCUCUUCCUCUUUCUCUUCUUCUUCCCUUCUCCGACGGAACACGAAGAAGCGAAUAAGCAGCCGCAUAGCUUGGAUUCCCCCUCCUCCUCCGUUGCUGUCGAGGUUUAAUCCGAGCAAAAGCAUGGCGAGAAUCGCCAUCUGUUCCUUCAAUCCCUCGCCUUCCUUGUCAUCCGCCGCCUCCGGCCCAUUCAAGCGCAUCUCGGCUCCGCCGUUCCUCCUCCCGCUCAAAUUCUCCCAGAUUCGGUUCAGGGCGCGUCGCUCUCUCGUGGCCGUGGUCGCGCGAUACGGGGGCGGGGGCUACCGCCCUGGUCCGUCCCGGAGGCGGUCCGGAGAUAAUCGCGUCGCUGCGGACCCCGACUAUGACCCUUCGCUCGACCUGGAUAGGCUCAAUUCAACUUCUGUAAGGUUGCUAGACGAGCAGCAAAAUAUGCUCGGUGUAGUGUCGAUUGAUGAAGCUGUACGAAUGGCAAAUGAUGCUGAACUUAUCCUGGCAAUUUUGUCUGCGGAUGCUGAUCCUCCUGUGCUCAGGCUUUUUGACACUUCAGAUUAUCAAAAACAUAAAUAUGAGCAGCAAAAGAAGAAAAGGGUGCAACAAAAGAGAUCAGCUGCAAGCCGCGUCAACAUUAAGGAAUUGAAAAUGGGGUACAAUAUUGAUUCCCAUGAUUACUCAGUGCGGUUAAAAGCUGCCAAUAAGUUUCUUAAAGAUGGUGAUAAGGUGAAAAUCAUUGUUAACUUGAAAGGCAGAGAAAAUGAAUUCAGGAAUAUUGCUAUUGAAUUGCUCCGACGCUUUCAAAGUGAUGUCGGGGAGUUGGCAACUGAGGAGAGCAAAAACUUCAGCGAAAGAAACAUCUUCAUGGUUCUCAUGCCAAACAAAGCAAUUGUUCAGAAAACACAGGAGCAGUCAAAGAAAAAGGAAAAGCCAGUUCCAGAAGUUUCCGCAAGUGUUUAGCCGCACCAGGACACUAAUUGAGAUUCAUAGCAAUAAGUUCGUAUCUUUCUUUCCUAUCAGUUGUUUUGGCUACUCAUCACACUGGAUUAGCUAUCGAUCCACACAACAUUGACAGUGUCUUUUCAUACACAGACAGUAGAAUCUUCUUGCGGCAAAAGGUCCAUUCGUGAUUAUGGAAACGAAUCACAGUUGUUGCUUAAAGAUGCCGAAAAGUUAAUCUGAGUAUCAUAGAGGAUUAAUGCAGCUUGUUCAUUAUAUUUUACAAUCACGAUUUUCAGUCAUCUGGAGAAAUGUAUUACUUACAUUAUCAAUGAAAAAAGCUAUGGCAUUUCGAUUCU